GUCUUUGUAGUAUAGAUAUUACCCUGGCCUUGUAAACCAGAAACGGAGAACAUAACUCUCCCCAAGACU
rnacentral:tRNA from 1 species